rnacentral:rRNA from 1 species
UACAGAGGUCUCAAGCGUUGUUCGGAUUCAUUGGGCGUAAAGGGUGCGUAGGUGGCGCUGUAAGUCGGGUGUGAAAUUUCGGGGCUUAACUCCGAAACUGCAUUCGAUACUGCGGUGCUUGAGGACUGGAGAGGAGACUGGAAUUCAUGGUGUAGCAGUGAAAUGCGUAGAGAUCAUGAGGAAGACCAGUGGCGAAGGCGGGUCUCUGGACAGUUCCUGACACUGAGGCACGAAGGCCAGGGGAGCAAACGGG